rnacentral:piRNA from 1 species
UCUGAGAUGAUGUUUGGUGAUGCUUGA